rnacentral:rRNA from 1 species
CCUACGGGAGGCAGCAGUGGGGAAUAUUGGGCAAUGGGCGCAAGCCUGACCCAGCAACGCCGCGUGAAGGAAGAAGGCUUUCGGGUUGUAAACUUCUUUUGACAGGGAAGAGCAGAAGACGGUACCUGUCGAAUAAGCCACGGCUAACUACGUGCCAGCAGCCGCGGUAAUACGUAGGGGGCAGGCGUUGUCCGGAUUUUCUGGGUGGAAAGGGCGUGUAGCCGGGCUGACAAGUCAGAUGUGAAAUCCGGGGGCUCAACCCCCGAACUGCAUUUGAAACUGUUGGUCUUGAGUAUCGGAGAGGCAGGCGGAAUGCCUGGUGUAGCGGUGAAAUGCGUAGAUAUUAGGAGGAACACCAGUGGCGAAGGCGGCCUGCUGGACGACAACUGACGGUGAGGCGCGAAAGCGUGGGGAGCAAACAGGAUUAGAUACCCUAGUAGUC